rnacentral:lncRNA from 1 species
CUGGGUGACGAAUACGUCGCCGAUCAAUGUCGAUGUUCUUGGAUCCAGAGGAAUUUGUUGACUACACUAUAUGAAAGUCGGUACACAUCAUGAUCCAUAUGAUCAUGGUACCGCCGCAAUGCACCUGCUGUGCCACGCGCCGUCGAGGUUUCAGAUGAACCGUGACGAAGAACCCCGCGCUGGCCGCGUCCUGCCUGUUGCAGGCCGCACCAUCCAUGCUCGCGUCACUGCUCGCCCGCACCUGUUGUGCCGGCCUCGGCCGCACCGGACGUAGCGCCCGUCGCGGCUCACCCGAGCUCGCCUGCAUCGCAUCGCUGCGCUCG